rnacentral:rRNA from 1 species
UCCUACGGGGCGCAGCAGUGGGGAAUAUUGCACAAUGGGGGAAACCCUGAUGCAGCGACGCCGCGUGAGCGAAGAAGUAUUUCGGUAUGUAAAGCUCUAUCAGCAGGGAAGAAAAUGACGGUACCUGACUAAGAAGCCCCGGCUAAAUACGUGCCAGCAGCCGCGGUAAUACGUAUGGGGCAAGCGUUAUCCGGAUUUACUGGGUGUAAAGGGAGCGCAGUCGGCUUGGCAAGUCUGAUGUGAAAGGCUGGGGCUCA